rnacentral:tRNA from 1 species
UAGCUCAAGUAGGUUAGAGCAAUUCCCUCAUAAGGAAAAGAGUAUCAGUUCAAGUCUGGUAAGAA